CCUACGGGUGGCAGCAGUGAGGAAUAUUUGUCAAUGGUCGGGAGACUGAACCAGCCAAGCCGCGUGAGGGAUGAAGGUACAGAGUAUCGUAAACCUCUUUUGUCAGGGAACAAAGGCGGGGACGUGUCCCCGGAUGAGUGUACCUGAAGAAAUAGCAUCGGCUAACUCCGUGCCAGCAGCCGCGGUAAUACGGAGGAUGCGAGCGUUAUCCGGAUUUAUUGGGUUUAAAGGGUGCGCAGGCGGUCUGUUAAGUCAGCGGUAAAAGCCCGGGGCUAAACCCCGGCCCGACGUUGAAACUGGCAGUCUCGAGUUGGAGAGAAGUAUGCGGAAUGCGCGGUGUAGCGGUGAAAUGCAUAGAUAUCGCGCAGAACUCCGAUUGCGAAGGCAGCAUGCCGGCUCCACACUGACGCUGAGGCACGAAAGCGUGGGUAUCGAACAGGAUUAGAUACCCGGGUAGUC
rnacentral:rRNA from 1 species